CAGUCGCCGCGGUAAUACGUAGGUCCCGAGCGUUGUCCGGAUUUAUUGGGCGUAAAGCGAGCGCAGGCGGUUAGAUAAGUCUGAAGUUAAAGGCUGUGGCUUAACCAUAGUACGCUUUGGAAACUGUUUAACUUGAGUGCAAGAGGGGAGAGUGGAAUUCCAUGUGUAGCGGUGAAAUGCGUAGAUAUAUGGAGGAACACCGGUGGCGAAAGCGGCUCUCUGGCUUGUAACUGACGCUGAGGCUCGAAAGCGUGGGGAGCAAACAGGAUUAGAUACCCCCGUAGUCCCUGUCUCUUAUACA
rnacentral:rRNA from 1 species